rnacentral:rRNA from 1 species
GACGAACGCUGGCGGCGUGCUUAACACAUGCAAGUCGAACGAUGAAGCCGGAGCUUGCUCUGGUGGAUUAGUGGCGAACGGGUGAGUAACACGUGAGUAACCUGCCCUUGACUCUGGGAUAAGCGUUGGAAACGACGUCUAAUACCGGAUACGAGCUACGACCGCAUGGUCACUAGCUGGUAAGAAACUCGGGCAAGGAUGGACUCGCGGCCUAGCAGCUAGUUGGUGAGGUAACGGCUCACCAAGGCGACGACGGGUAGCCGGCCUGAGAGGGUGACCGGCCACACUGGGACUGAGACACGGCCCAGACUCCUACGGGAGGCAGCAGUGGGGAAUAUUGCACAAUGGGCGCAAGCCUGAUGCAGCAACGCCGCGUGAGGGACGACGGCCUUCGGGUUGUAAACCUCUUUUAGCAGGGAAGAAGCGCAAGUGACGGUACCUGCAGAAAAAGCACCGGCUAACUACGUGCCAGCCGCCGCUGUAACAC